UACGAAGGGGGCGAGCGUUGUUCGGAUUUACUGGGCGUAAAGCGCGCGCAGGCGGUUCUUCAAGUCAGGGGUGAAAUCCUGGAGCUCAACUCCAGAACUGCCUUUGAUACUGAGAGCCUUCGAGUCCGGGAGAGGUGAGUGGAACUGCGAGUGUAGAGGUGAAAUUCGUAGAUAUUCGCAAGAACACCAGUGGCGAAGGCGGCUCACUGGCCCGGUACUGACGCUGAGGUGCGAAAGCGUGGGGAGCAAACGGG
rnacentral:rRNA from 1 species